rnacentral:rRNA from 1 species
UCAGGAUGAACGCUAGCGGGAGGCCUAACACAUGCAAGCCGAGCGGUAUUUAUUCUUCGGAAUAGAGAGAGCGGCGUACGGGUGCGGAACACGUGUGCAACCUGCCUUUAUCAGGGGGAUAGCCUUUCGAAAGGAAGAUUAAUACCCCAUAAUAUUUAGGAUGGCAUCAUUUUAAAUUGAAAACUACGGUGGAUAAAGAUGGGCACGCGCAAGAUUAGAUAGUUGGUGAGGUAACGGCUCACCAAGUCAGUGAUCUUUAGGGGGCCUGAGAGGGUGAUCCCCCACACUGGUACUGAGACACGGACCAGACUCCUACGGGAGGCAGCAGUGAGGAAUAUUGGACAAUGGGUGAGAGCCUGAUCCAGCCAUCCCGCGUGAAGGACGACGGCCCUAUGGGUUGUAAACUUCUUUUGUAUAGGGAUAAACCUAGAUACGUGUAUCUAGCUGAAGGUACUAUACGAAUAAGCACCGGCUAACUCCGUGCCAGCAGCCGCGGUAAUACGGAGGGUGCAAGCGUUAUCCGGAUUUAUUGGGUUUAAAGGGUCCGUAGGCGGAUCAGUAAGUCAGUGGUGAAAUCUCAUAGCUCAACUAUGAAACUGCCAUUGAUACUGCUGGUCUUGAGUAAGGUAGAAGUAGCUGGAAUAAGUAGUGUAGCGGUGAAAUGCAUAGAUAUUACUUAGAACACCAAUUGCGAAGGCAGGUUACUAUGUCUUAACUGACGCUGAUGGACGAAAGCGUGGGGAGCGAACAGGAUUAGAUACCCUGGUAGUCCACGCUGUAAACGAUGCUAACUCGUUUUUGGGCUUUAUG